CCUAAUGCACGUUUCAAGCUCUUGCUUUCUAUCAAACGGCUCGCUCAAGGUGGGUAACCAAUGGAAACGCAUCAUCCAUCCCCGGCGGAUGUCGUGGACGCCACGGAGGGAAGGCGGCCCGAGCUCCUUCCUCCCCGCCUCGCCCUUCCCUCUUGGCCCUUUACCCAGAAGAGGUCUGAAUUGGCCGCGGUCUUGGCGUCCCGUGGCUGAGGUGGCGAGGUGGAAGAUCAGCCCUUUACGGGGUGCGGCACCGGAGCUGGGCCCCCAGCUGCAUCCCUCGCACCCCUCCCGACUAGGUCUGAGCGGGGCAGCCGGUGAAGGGGCCGGCGGUGAAGGGGCCGCUACUGGCUGCAGCAGCCGCUCCGGGCGUCUCGGCCCGGCUGCCAGGACGCGCCCGCAGGGCCUGACCUCACAAUGGGCGCGCGAGGGGCGCUCUGCCCGGCCGGGAGAAGCCGGGGGAGGAGGGGAACCGAGGCCCGGCCAGCCCCGGCCAGUGUCCGACCCAGGGGCGGGGACGGCGCCGAGACCGACUCUGCCCUGCCUGAUCCGACAGGCCGCGCGGGGGUGGGCGCUGGCGAAGGGGUGGCCCAGCGGGGAACCCCGCGCGCAGGUGGUGCCCCACUCGUCCCCCCGACGGAGGAAAAGGCUACAAGCCGCGCUUCGCUCACCUGUCCCGCCCGCGCCAUCGCGCGAUGCGUCGCCGACGCUUCCACGACUUCCGCAGCUCCGGCCGUCGCCCGGGCCCGGCAGCCCCGCCCCUGGCCGAACACCCCUAAACCCGGGGACACCUCCUCCGGCGUCCGCGCCUAGCCGCCGACAGGGCCACGCCCACCGCCAGCGGCGCAGCGAGGCAGCCUGGAGUGACUGCGACCAAGGAGCUGCCGCCCGGGUCAGCCCGCGCCGCCCGCCGACUCCUCACCCCGUCGCCCCGCUGGGAAAGUGCACGGUCGGCCGCGCCGCCGAGCUGCCUCGGGCUUCGCGACCCUGCCGUAAAGCGGCCCCUCGCGCCGUCGCAAUGCUGCCGUGCGCCGCAGGAGCCAGGGGGCGUGGGGCCAUGGUGGCCUUGCGGGCGGGGAAGAAGACCUUUCUCCCCCGUCUCUGCCGCGCCUUCGCCUGCCGCGGCUGUCAACUCGCUCCGGAGCGCGGCGCCGAGCGCAGGGAUACGGCGCCCAGCGGGAGACGGGUUUCACCAUGUUGGCCAGGCUGGUCUUGAACUAUUGACCUCAGAUGAUCUGCUCACCUCAGCCUCCCAAAGUGCUGGGAUUACAGGUCUCAAGAUUCUGCCCUCCAAGAAAGUCUUGCCAUGAUUGGAUAGGACCCCCAGAUAAAUAUUCAAACCUUCGACCUGUUCACUUUUACAUACCUGAAAAUGAAUCUCCAUUGGAACAAAAGCUUAGAAAAUUAAGACAAGAAACACAAGAAUGGAAUCAACAGUUCUGGGCAAACCAGAAUUUGACUUUUAGUAAGGUCAGAAAGCAACAUUGAAUGCAGAAGAAAUGGCGGACUUUUACAAGGAAUUUUUAAGUAAAAAUUUUCAGAAGCACAUGUAUUAUAACAG